rnacentral:rRNA from 1 species
UUCCAGACUCCUACGGGAGGCAGCAGUGGGGGAUAUUGCACAAUGGGGGGAACCCUGAUGCAGCGACGCCGCGUGGGUGAAGAAGUAUUUCGGUAUGUAAAGCCCUAUCGGCAGGGAAGAAAUUGGACGGUACCUGACUAAGAAGCCCCGGCUAACUACGUGCCAGCAGCCGCGGUAAUACGUAGGGGGCAAGCGUUAUCCGGAUUCACUGGGUGUAAAGGGAGCGUAGACGGCGACGCAAGUCUGGAGUGAAAGCCCGGGGCCCAACCCCGGGACUGCUCUGGAAACUGCGUCGCUGGAGUACGGGAGGGGCAGGCGGAAUUCCUGGUGUAGCGGUGAAAUGCGUAGAUAUCAGGAGGAACACCGGCGGCGAAGGCGGCCUGCUGGACCGUGACUGACGUUGAGGCUCGAGAGCGUGGGGAGCAAACAGGAUUAGAUACCCGUGUA